UUAGCCUGCAACAGUGCUUUCUAACCACUACAUCAACAUGUACCAUUAUUCUGUAUUCUGUAUAUCUUUUUGUUUGAAUUUGAUUGUGGGAGGCAUUCCUUGGUCUUCAACCACACAUCAUGCCACUGAGACACACAAUUUCCUUUUUCUCCCCAUCAGUUUAUUUACAAAAGUAAUUACAUUGCCAUUGAGGUUUUUCAGUUCAUGUAAUUGCUUGAGCAGAAGUAUUAAAAAAAAGAACCAAAAAUAUUAGCUAAAAACUCUCAAUGCAACAUAAAGCCUGCCCCAAGCUAAAUACCAUGGGAUACCAUGAUAAUUAAAAUAAUCAUGUUUUCAUAAAUGUGUGUAUCCUUAGUCUUUAGGCAAACAGGAAUCGCUAAGCUAUGCAAUGAAAGCUCCUACCAAGGAGCAAAGCCUGCUUUUCUGCAAAGCCCACCCAUCAAGUUCUGUCUCCAAAGACAAGAGUGAAAAUCCAGGAAUUACAUCAUUUUCUUCUAACUGUAUCACCGUUUUCCCUAAACCCUAACCACUGGUGAAUAUAGCCAAGCAUUAUUUUUCUGGAUUCACAGAGGUUCAGUAGAAAUUAAGGAAGGACUUUUCUCUGCCACCUUUGACUUGGUAAUCACUGAUCCUGGGAUCUUUUGAAACCACACCAGGUUAGCUGUUCAGCCAAGUUCCUUACUCUUCCGAGGAGUUUUGCAACCCCCCCCCCCAGAAGAAAACCCCCAAUACAAGGAAGGUGCAGCAAUGACUUAUGAAAGAAACAUAAACGUUACUCCUGAGUAUAGUUGCAAUAUUUUAUUGGGGCAAUGUGAUGCAAUCAUUACUACUAUAAAUAGAGAAGUGUGUCCUGUUACAAGAAUAAGAUUUGAUCCAGAAUCAAAUUCAAAAUGAAGAUCUUUUAUAUGGUCCUCGCAUUCCUUUUCCUUGCAAUUCUGCCUGAACCAGGAAAUGCCAUCUAUGUGUGUUACCGUCGAGGAGGGGUCUGUGUUCACGUUUACUGUCCUCCUGAACGAAACCUUGGGACAUGGGGAUGUAAUGCAGGAUUAACAUGCUGUAGAAGAAUUUGAAAAUAACAAAUUCUCUGUCUGCUGCCUUGGAUAUCUUCAGGAGCUGACUAAUGACUUGACAUCACCAUUUCCCUUCACUUAAUCUUUCUUUAACUCAAUCCAAAUUGCUAUCUAUGCAUUGAAGAAAAUAAAUUAGCAAAUUUCCCUGAAAAUA